rnacentral:rRNA from 1 species
UACGUAGGGGGCAAGCGUUGUCCGGAAUUAUUGGGCGUAAAGAGCGCGUAGGCGGUCCGGUAAGUCGGCUGUGAAAGUCAAGGGCUCAACCCUUGAAAGCCGGCCGAUACUGUCGGACUAGAGUCCGGAAGAGGCGAGUGGAAUUCCCGGUGUAGCGGUGAAAUGCGCAGAUAUCGGGAGGAACACCAAUGGCGAAGGCAGCUCGCUGGGCCUGACCUGACGCUGAGGAGCGAAAGCGUGGGGAGCGAACAGG